rnacentral:rRNA from 1 species
CCUACGGGAGGCAGCAGUGAGGAAUAUUGGUCAAUGGGCGCGAGCCUGAACCAGCCAAGUAGCGUGAAGGAUGACUGCCCUAGGGGUUGUAAACUUCUUUUAUAAAGGAAUAAAGUGAGGCACGUGUGACCUUGUGUAUGUACUUUAUGAAUAAGGAUAGGAUAACUCAGUGCCAGCAGCAGCGGUAAGACGGAGGGUCCGAGCGUUAUACGGAUUUAUGGGGGUUAAAGGGAGCGCAGAUGGGUUGUUAAGUCAGUUGUGAAAGUUUGCGGCUCAACCGUAAAAUUGCAAUUGAUACUGGCAGUCUUGAGUACAGUAGAGGUAGGCGGAAUUCGUGGUGUAGCGGUGAAAUGCUUAGAGAUCUCGAAGAACUCCGAUUGCGAAGGCAGCUUAUUAGACUGCCACUGACGUUGAUGCUCGAAAGUGUGGGGAUCAAACAGGAUUAGAUACCCGGGUAGUC